rnacentral:rRNA from 1 species
UACGGGAGGCAGCAGUGGGGAAUUUUCCGCAAUGGGCGAAAGCCUGACGGAGCAAUACCGCGUGAGGGAGGAAGGCUCUUGGGUUGUAAACCUCUUUUCUCAGGGAAGAAGCUCUGACGGUACCUGAGGAAUCAGCAUCGGCUAACUCCGUGCCAGCAGCCGCGGUAAUACGGAGGAUGCAAGCGUUAUCCGGAAUGAUUGGGCGUAAAGCGCCCGCAGGUGGCGAUUCAAGUCUGCUGUCAAAGGUCGGGGCUCAACCCUGAACAGGCGGUGGAAACUGAACAGCUAGAGUGCGGUAGGGGUAGAGGGAAUUCCCGGUGUAGCGGUGAAAUGCGUAGAGAUCGGGAAGAACACCAGUGGCGAAAGCGCUCUACUAGGCCUGCACUGACACUCAGGGACGAAAGCUAGGGGAGCGAAUGGGAUUAGAUACCCCAGUAGUCCUAGCCNGUAAACGAUGGAUACUAGGCGUGGCUUGUAUCGACCCGAGCCGUGCCGGAGCUAACGCGUUAAGUAUCCCGCCUGGGGAGUACGCGCGCAAGCGUGAAACUCAAAAAAAUUGACGG